ACCUUUAAAAGCUUGCUUUUAAAGGUUAGCGGCGGACGGGUGAGUAACACGUGGGCAACCUACCUGUAAGACUGGGAUAACUUCGGGAAACCGGAGCUAAUACCGGAUAAUUCUUUUCUACACAUGUAGAAAAGCUGAAAGACGGUUUCGGCUGUCACUUACAGAUGGGCCCGCGGCGCAUUAGCUAGUUGGAGAGGUUUUUUCUCACCAAGGCAAGAAAGCGUAGCCGACCUGAGAGGGUGAUCGGCCACACUGGNAUCCCUCCANCGCCCAGGGACCUACGNGANGCUUCAUUCGAGCUUGCUGUUNACUCCCCCCAUCCUGAU
rnacentral:sRNA from 1 species